UAUCAUGUUUAAACCUUGAUUUAAUGCAGUUAAUUCAUUUACUACAUAAAAAUUUCUUGUUGAUAGAACUUUUCCGUGUAGUUUCCUGAAACAAGCCAAAGCCUAUCUUCUUCAACUACUGAUGGGAAUUUCCUUUGCAUCAUGGACUAGCCUUUAACUCAGUUGAAUUCUGGCUCAGAAAGUUUUGUGAAAUGGAAGAACCAUGACAGCGAUGCCAACCAAAAUUUUUUGUUCAUAGACUUAAGAUAAAACCAACUAUUCAUUGAAAAAAAUACUGAAAAUUCUCAUAAAUAAACAUAUAUACACACAUGAUUCAAAGUUUAACAUAGCUCAGCUCAGGUUUAGCUCAUCAAAUGUUAAUGGACACAUGUGAAAGAGCAUUUUGAAAUUUGGAAUUGCAUAUAAGCACUGGAGAUCAGUAGAGUAUUUUGUGAUUUCCAUUGGUUUGCUAUUAUCUUCAGUGAAUUCAAACACAUGGACAUUAUUUGUACAGAAUAUGGUACCAAAUGGAAAGUACAGUCUGUCUUCGUUUUUUAUCAUCCUGAGAACAAUAUCAUGGUUAUGGUAGAGACACUUGGUGCUCUCUGAAUUUCCACAUACUUCCCUGCACUUCCCGGCCUCCUCUGCACUUGGUUUGGGGCAAUCAACUGUGAGCAGAAGAGAUGUGAAUCACUUCCUGGCCAAGGCAGUUAAGAGGUGUGUGCCCCCUCCAUUUCUCUCUUCCCCUGUUGUGGCAACUUUGGAAGACACGACUUGAGAUGUGGAAGUGCCAGAAGAUGAAGGGAACCUAGAGCUAUCUAACUCACUAAAUGGUGAGCCUGGAAAUCUGCAUAAGACUUGACUUAUGUGAGAACUAAAUAUGGUGUCACUAAGAUUCUGAAUUUGUCUGUUGUAGCAGCCGCAUCAGUUACGGAGAAUAACAAAACAAUGGUCAGCUGAGAAUGAGCUCAGUUAAGGCCAUGUAGUGGUCCUUCUAAUGACGAUGGAGAGGGAAAAAAAUUAGUGUGACUUGUAACCCUAAUAAAAGAUGGGUUUGGAUGUA